GUCCGGGGGAGCACCUCCCAGGAUGUAGUGUAGUUAACGAAUGGACCACAGGCCUGGGAACAGCUGAUCCUGAUAAGGGAGAAACGGGAGGCCCAGUUUCAGCAACAGUACAGCUAAGCUAGGCUCAGUUAGGCUCAGCAGUGUGAAACGGGUAUGAGAUUGGUGCAUGGUACACAGGCCAAUGCCAGGCCAAUCAGCAGCACAGCCAGGAAGAAGAAGUUGGAGCUGGAGGCUCGGAACGGACGGGUGGCCGGG